GGGUAUGUUGCUGCUACAGCCUACCGAUGAAUCACUUUCUAUAUAAUUAAUGGUUGAUUGAAUCAACCAUUAAAGACCCUUAAAUCUCUUCUUCAUUCAACGGACAGGGAUGCAUGCAAUUGUAAUGAAAAAUCAUUCAAACAACUGAAAACGGAAAGCACCAGUUUUUGUACAACGGAUGUUUGUAUAAAUGACCCGGAGAGUUUGGUUGGUUGGAAUCAUUCGAUUGAUUGAAAACUAGUGGUUUAUAUUGAAUUGAAUAAAAUUUGUGGAUUUGAGGAAAUUGUUAUUUAGGGGAGUUCUGUUUUUGUGUGAAUUUUUAGAUAUUUUGUUGGAUUUUGUCGAAUUGAGAAUUUGAUGCAGAGUAAAAAUUGAGGUUGAAGAAUUUAGGGGCAGAAAUCAUAGGGAUAAGUCUCACUUUCUGAUUGAAUUGAUUUUUGUAGGACUUUUGAGAUGAAUUGAUUUAAGUAAUUGGAGGUUGUAACCAACCUAGUGGUAAUGCUCAAGGCACUGAUGGUUAGAGACGGUUGAUGGCAGUAAAUAAGAGGAAAUGAUUGAGCUUGAUUAUCGUUGUUUGAUGGAAGAAAAUGGAGGCAGUUGAGAAAUGAGUUUAUCAUGGACCAUGGUGGUGAGUCCGGAGACGUUGAAGAACUCAAAUGGAAAAAUUGUUUUUAUUCUCCAUAUAUGUUUUAGAUUAAUCCUUGUAAUUAAUUUACAUCUUGCAAUUUAUCACAAAUUAAGUUUAUUAAA